rnacentral:rRNA from 1 species
GGUUAAGCGACUAAGCGUACACGGUGGAUGCCCUGGCAGUCAGAGGCGAUGAAGGACGUGCUAAUCUGCGAAAAGCGUCGGUAAGGUGAUAUGAACCGUUAUAACCGGCGAUGUCCGAAUGGGGAAACCCAGUGUGAUUCGUCACACUAUCGUUAACUGAAUACAUAGGUUAACGAGGCGAACCGGGGGAACUGAAACAUCUAAGUACCCCGAGGAAAAGAAAUCAACCGAGAUUCCCCCAGUAGCGGCGAGCGAACGGGGAGCAGCCCAGAGUCUGAAUCAGCUUGUGUGUUAGUGGAACGGUCUGGAAAGUCCGACGGUACAGGGUGAUAGUCCCGUACACCAAAAUGCACAGGCUGUGAACUCGAAGAGUAGGGCGGGACACGUGGUAUCCUGUCUGAAUAUGGGGGGACCAUCCUCCAAGGCUAAAUACUCCUGACUGACCGAUAGUGAACCAGUACCGUGAGGGAAAGGCGAAAAGAACCCCGGCGAGGGGAGUGAAAAAGAACCUGAAACCGUGUACGUACAAGCAGUGGGAGCACCUUCGGGUGUGACUGCGUACCUUUUGUAUAAUGGGUCAGCGACUUAUAUUCUGUAGCAAGGUUAACCGUAUAGGGGAGCCGCAGGGAAACCGAGUCUUAACUGGGCGUUAAGUUGCAGGGUAUAGACCCGAAACCCGGUGAUCUAGCCAUGGGCAGGUUGAAGGUUGGGUAACACUAACUGGAGGACCGAACCGACUAAUGUUGAAAAAUUAGCGGAUGACUUGUGGCUGGGGGUGAAAGGCCAAUCAAACCGGGAGAUAGCUGGUUCUCCCCGAAAGCUAUUUAGGUAGCGCCUCGUGAACUCAUCUUCGGGGGUAGAGCACUGUUUCGGCUAGGGGGUCAUCCCGACUUACCAACCCGAUGCAAACUACGAAUACCGAAGAAUGUUAUCACGGGAGACACACGGCGGGUGCUAACGUCCGUCGUGAAGAGGGAAACAACCCAGACCGCCAGCUAAGGUCCCAAAGUCAUGGUUAAGUGGGAAACGAUGUGGGAAGGCACAGACAGCCAGGAUGUUGGCUUAGAAGCAGCCAUCAUUUAAAGAAAGCGUAAUAGCUCACUGGUCGAGUCGGCCUGCGCGGAAGAUGUAACGGGGCUAAACCAUGCACCGAAGCUGCGGCAGCGACACUAUGUGUUGUUGGGUAGGGGAGCGUUCUGUAAGCCUGCGAAGGUGUGCUGUGAGGCAUGCUGGAGGUAUCAGAAGUGCGAAUGCUGACAUAAGUAACGAUAAAGCGGGUGAAAAGCCCGCUCGCCGGAAGACCAAGGGUUCCUGUCCAACGUUAAUCGGGGCAGGGUGAGUCGACCCCUAAGGCGAGGCCGAAAGGCGUAGUCGAUGGGAAACAGGUUAAUAUUCCUGUACUUGGUGUUACUGCGAAGGGGGGACGGAGAAGGCUAUGUUAGCCGGGCGACGGUUGUCCCGGUUUAAGCAUGUAGGCUGGUUAUCCAGGCAAAUCCGGAUAAUCAAGGCUGAGGUGUGAUGACGAGGCACUACGGUGCUGAAGUAACAAAUGCCCUGCUUCCAGGAAAAGCCUCUAAGCAUCAGGUAACAUCAAAUCGUACCCCAAACCGACACAGGUGGUCAGGUAGAGAAUACCAAGGCGCUUGAGAGAACUCGGGUGAAGGAACUAGGCAAAAUGGUGCCGUAACUUCGGGAGAAGGCACGCUGGUGUGUAGGUGAAGCCCCUGCGGGUGGAGCUGAGACCAGUCGAAGAUACCAGCUGGCUGCAACUGUUUAUUAAAAACACAGCACUGUGCAAACACGAAAGUGGACGUAUACGGUGUGACGCCUGCCCGGUGCCGGAAGGUUAAUUGAUGGGGUUAUCCGUAAGGAGAAGCUCUUGAUCGAAGCCCCGGUAAACGGCGGCCGUAACUAUAACGGUCCUAAGGUAGCGAAAUUCCUUGUCGGGUAAGUUCCGACCUGCACGAAUGGCGUAAUGAUGGCCAGGCUGUCUCCACCCGAGACUCAGUGAAAUUGAACUCGCUGUGAAGAUGCAGUGUACCCGCGGCAAGACGGAAAGACCCCGUGAACCUUUACUAUAGCUUGACACUGAACAUUGAGCCUUGAUGUGUAGGAUAGGUGGGAGGCUUUGAAGCGUGGACGCCAGUCUGCGUGGAGCCAACCUUGAAAUACCACCCUUUAAUGUUUGAUGUUCUAACGUUGGCCCCUGACCGGGGUUGCGGACAGUGUCUGGUGGGUAGUUUGACUGGGGCGGUCUCCUCCCAAAGCGUAACGGAGGAGCACGAAGGUUAGCUAAUCCUGGUCGGACAUCAGGAGGUUAGUGCAAUGGCAUAAGCUAGCUUGACUGCGAGCGUGACGGCGCGAGCAGGUGCGAAAGCAGGUCAUAGUGAUCCGGUGGUUCUGAAUGGAAGGGCCAUCGCUCAACGGAUAAAAGGUACUCCGGGGAUAACAGGCUGAUACCGCCCAAGAGUUCAUAUCGACGGCGGUGUUUGGCACCUCGAUGUCGGCUCAUCACAUCCUGGGGCUGAAGUAGGUCCCAAGGGUAUGGCUGUUCGCCAUUUAAAGUGGUACGCGAGCUGGGUUUAGAACGUCGUGAGACAGUUCGGUCCCUAUCUGCCGUGGGCGCUGGAGAAUUGAGGGGGGCUGCUCCUAGUACGAGAGGACCGGAGUGGACGCAUCACUGGUGUUCGGGUUGUCAUGCCAAUGGCACUGCCCGGUAGCUAAAUGCGGAAGAGAUAAGUGCUGAAAGCAUCUAAGCACGAAACUUGCCCCGAGAUGAGUUCUCCCUGAGACUUUAAGUCUCCUGAAGGAACGUUGAAGACGACGACGUUGAUAGGCCGGGUGUGUAAGCGCAGCGAUGCGUUGAGCUAACCGGUACUAAUGAACCGUGAGGCUUAACCUU